rnacentral:rRNA from 1 species
AUUGAACGCUGGCGGCAGGCCUAACACAUGCAAGUCGAACGAGUGGCGGACGGGUGAGUAAUGUCUGGGAAACUGCCUGAUGGAUGGGGAUAACUACUGGCAACGGUCGCUGAUACCGCAUACCAUCGGAUGUGCCCAGAUGGGCUGAGCUAGUAGGUGGGGUAAAGGCUAACCUAGGCGACGAGCCCGAGCUGGUCUGAGAGGAUGACCAGCCACACUGGAACUGAGCCACGGUCCAGCGUCCGACGGUAGGAAGCAGGGGGGCAGAUUGCACAAUGGGAGAAAGCCUGAUGGAGCCAUGCAGCGUGGAUGAAGAAGGCCUGCGGGUUGUAAAGUACUUUCAGCGGGGAGGCGGUACCCGCAGAAGAAGCACCGGCUAACUCCGUGCCAGCCGCCGCGGUAAUUC